UCCUCAGUGGCUUAGAUGGUAAAGAAUCUGCCUGCAAUGCAGGAGACCUGGAUUCAGUCCCUGGUUCAGGAA
rnacentral:tRNA from 1 species